rnacentral:rRNA from 1 species
CAGUCGCCGCGGGAAUACGUAGGGUGCGAGCGUUAAUCGGAAUUACUGGGCGUAAAGCGUGCGCAGGCGGUUUUGUAAGACAGGCGUGAAAUCCCCGGGCUCAACCUGGGAAUGGCGCUUGUGACUGCAAAGCUAGAGUGCGGCAGAGGGGGAUGGAAUUCCGCGUGUAGCAGUGAAAUGCGUAGAUAUGCGGAGGAACACCGAUGGCGAAGGCAAUCCCCUGGGCCUGCACUGACGCUCAUGCACGAAAGCGUGGGGAGCGAACAGGAUUAGAUACCCCAGUAGUCCCUGUCUCUUAUAC